rnacentral:rRNA from 1 species
AGAAUAUUAUUUAAAUUAUUAGGUUGAUAUUAUUAAUUAAAAUAAUUUUAGUGAAUAUAAUUUAGUAUAGUUUAUAGAAUUUGUGAAGUGAAUGGUAGGGAAUAUGUACUGUGUAGGAAAUAUGAAAGAGAUGAAAUAGUUAUUGUAGAGAAAGAAGAAUAAUAUUCGUACCUUGGGUAUCAGGGUUUAUUAAUUAAUAGUAAUGAUUUAUAAUUCUCGAAUUGAAAAGAGUUAAAAUGGUAUGGUAGUUAAUGUGUUAUUAUUAUUAGUAAUAUUAUUUUAGUAAUGAAAUGUUAAACGUUUUUUAAGUUAUCUAGUUUUUUAAGAAAUGAAUUUAAUUCAGGUUAUUGGGAGUAAGGUUGAUUUUUUUGGUCAAUAUUUAUUUUCCUAUAAUAAAUAUAUAAGGGGAUAAGCUUUUGUGUAGGGACUAAAAAUUAUAGGAUUUAAAGAGAGUAGUAGGCUUUAAAUUAGCUAUCAAUGAAAUAGUGUUAUAAAUUGUUUUAAGUUGAAAUUAUUUUUUAAUAGUUUUAGUUUGUUUAUUGAAAUAUUAUAAUGAAUAAGUUGAUAUAAGUAAUAAUGAUGAAAUAAGUAUAUAAAAUUGUUUAUUAGAAUUUAUUGGGAAUUUAUAAUAAGGAACUAGGCAAAUUAUCACUCGCCUGUUUAUCAAAAACAUCUCUUUUUGUAAUUAUAAAAAGUUGGGCCUGCCCACUGAAGUAUUUAAAGGGCCGCGGUAUUAUGACCGUGCAAAGGUAGCAUAAUCAUUAGUCUUUUAAUUGAGGGCUGGAAUGAAUGGUUUGACGAAGUGAUAACUGUCUCAAUAUAAGAUAUAGAAGUUAAUUUUUAAGUUAAAAGGCUUAAAUAUUAGUAGAGGACGAGAAGACCCUAUAGAGCUUUAUAUAUAAAUUUAAAUUUGAAUUUAGGAGUUUAUGAUAAUUUGUGUUGAUUGUAUUAUGUUGGGGUGACAUAAAGAUAAAAUUAACUCUUUAUUUUUAGGACAUUGAUAUAUGUAUUUUUGAUCCAUUUUUAGUGAUUAUAAGAUUAAGUUACCUUAGGGAUAACAGCGUAAUUUUUCUUGAGAGUUCAUAUCAACAGAGAAGAUUGCGACCUCGAUGUUGGAUUAAGGAAUAUAAUUGGAUGCAGCAGUUUAAUUGGUAGGUCUGUUCGACCUUUAAAUCCUUACAUGAUCUGAGUUCAGACCGGUGUAAGCCAGGUCGGUUUCUAUCCUUAUUUAGUUUUUAUACUUUAGUACGAAAGGACCAAGUGUUUUAAAUAUUUUAUAUAUAUAUUUGAUUAUUAUUA